rnacentral:rRNA from 1 species
ACCCGCUGCCUUUAAGCAUAUUAAUAAGCGGAGGAAGAGAAACCAACCGGGAUUCCCCCAGUAACGGCGAGCGAAGCGGGAACAGUUCGCGCCUCCAAUCUCCGGCGCAGUCGCCGGCGAAUUGUGGCCGCCAGAGGUGUCCGUCGUCGAGACUCUCUGCUCCGAAGUUGACCUGGAACGGCACGUCAGAGAGGGUGAGAGCCCCGUGCGCGGAGCAGGGCGUCGCGGCUUUGGUCGCCUUCGCAGAGUCGGGUUGUUUGGGACUGCAGCCCAAAGUGGGUGGUAAACUCCAUCUAAAGCUAAAUACUGGCACGAGACCGAUAGCGAACAAGUACC